rnacentral:lncRNA from 1 species
AGGAUUAAAACAAAUUAGAUGGAUUCUAUGGUUGUGAGAGACGUCAACACAUUGCCGGAGCUGUAGCUCCGAUCUUCUUCUCCGGUGGACCUCACCGGACUGGUCCACCUUCAACCAUCACCCAAAUUAAAAACAAGGACAUGAUCUCAAAGUAAAAAUGGCACUGAGUUCGAAUCUGACCUCAAUUCACUCUAACUCCAAGUAUAUUGCGAGAUACAUGGAGUUGAAAUUUGAGGUACACGAACCGAGUUGCUUCGAUUUGGCCUCUAAGCAACUCAAUCUUC